UCUCAGGAGGUAGGUCAUGUUGUCUGGUAUUCCCAUCUCAUUAAGAAUAUUCCACAGUUUGUUGUGAUCCACACAGUCAAAGGCUUUAGCAUAGUCAAUGAAGAAGAAGUAGAUUUUUUUUUUUUAAUUCCCUUGCUUUUUCUAUGAUCCAGCAUAUAUUGGCAAUUUGAUCUUUGGUUCUUCUGCCUUUUCUUCUCUUUUUUUUUUCUGAUGCUUUUCAUUAUCACAGAACAUGCCAACUGUAAUGUGUGCAAAGAGGUAAAGAUGGGUGGAGGGAAAGGAAGUCAAAUUGGGGAAGGCUGGAUGACUGCUUCGCUUCUUCUUAUUAUUCUUCCCAUUCAUAGCCAGGAUCAUCAUGAACUUUCUGAAGAGAGUUACAAAAUCUAAGAGGUCAACACAAUGCCAGAUAUAAUCUUUAUCUCCAUUUUCAGCCUUUUCAAUAAUGAGUUGAGUAUCAAAAAGGACAAAGCCACACAUGACCACCAGCCCCACAUACAGGCUUGCCUGGAAAAGCCAAAUAGAUCCGAAGAAUAGGUUCCCCAGGAAAGACAAGAGCAUCAGGCUCAUGGCUGACAUCAAGAUACCUCCUAGAAAGAAGUAGUUAUGGCACCUGGCACAGAGUGCACUCAGGGUGAAGCAAGUGAAGAUCAUUGCUGGGACCAUGAAGGCAGUGAGAAGGAUGCUGGGGUUGAUGGCAGUGCACAAGUCCAGAGCAAGGCCCAGGCCAACUCCUGUAAGGAAAGCAAAUCCAGCCAGAAGUCCCAGUCUUUUUUUGCUUAUAUUCAUGGCUGUGAGGUGUUGCCAUCAGCCGAAUCAUCAACCCCAGAGAGCCCAAGGCAGAGAGCAGGCCAGCCUGAAUGAAAUGGGUGACCACAUGGACAUAGGCCCCUGCAGCCACCACAAACAUACAGAGGACAAAACUGGCAGAGACCUUCUUCAGGUGCUGCUGUGUCGAGGGGGUUAUGUGGGAAAAUUUAAAGAGUGCAUCAAAGUUGAUCUUCCGAUCAAAUUUAUGCAUGAUGCUAGUGUCUGUGGGAUACAGCCUCCACUCUUCUGACCCACCUCUCAGGAGCCCAUACAGCUCUUCUAACACUGGAUGUGCUUCUCCUCUGCCUUUUCUAAAUCCAGCUGUACAUUUGGAAGUUCUCGGUUCUUGUACUGCUGAAACCUAGCUUGAAGGAUUUUGAGCGUAAUCUUGCUGGCAUGUGAAAUGAGUGCAAUUGUAUGGUAAUUUGAACAUUCUUUGGCCUUGCUUUUCUUUGGGAUUAAAAUGAAAACUGACCCUUUCCAGUCCUGUGGCCACUGAUGAGUUUUCCAAAUUUGCUGGUAUAAUAAGUGCAGCACUUUAACAGCAUCAUCUUAUACCUGUCUAAAUUUAU
rnacentral:lncRNA from 1 species